rnacentral:rRNA from 1 species
CACGUAGGGGGCUAGCGUUGUCCGGAUUUAUUGGGCGUAAAGAGCGUGUAGGCGGCCAGGUAGGUCCGGUGUGAAAACUCGAGGCUUAACCUCGAGAUGUCAUCGGAAACCAUCUGGCUAGAGUCCGGAAGAGGAGAGUGGAAUUCCUGGUGUAGCGGUGAAAUGCGCAGAUAUCAGGAAGAACACCAAUGGCGAAGGCAGCUCUCUGGGACGGUACUGACGCUGAGACGCAAAAGCGUGGGGAGCGAACAGG